rnacentral:rRNA from 1 species
UACGUAGGGGGCAAGCGUUGUCCGGAAUCAUUGGGCGUAAAGCGCGUGUAGGCGGCCCGGUAAGUCCGCUGUGAAAGUCGGGGGCUCAACCCUCGAAUGCCGGUGGAUACUGUCGGGCUAGAGUGCGGAAGAGGCGAGUGGAAUUCCUGGUGUAGCGGUGAAAUGCGCAGAUAUCAGGAGGAACACCAAGUGCGAAGGCAGCUCGCUGGGACGUGACUGACGCUGAGGAGCGAAAGCGUGGGGAGCGAACAGG